UAACAUUUAAUUUCUUUUCAAAUAUUUUCAAUUUGUCUGAAAUUGGUACACCAUAGUCUUCCUUUCUCUCUCUCGUGAUGAAUGAAGGUAAACAAAAUUUCCCCGUGCUAGGUGGGUAUGCUUCUCAUAAAAUUACAGGUGUAUUGAUUCUUAAGAUAUGCUUCUUCCUUUUCUUUCUUUCUGUCAGGUUGUUAUCAGAUAUUUGGCUUGAAUGGUAGUACAGACGUCUUUAACUUGAAUCAAAGUGUGCAUCUCUGUUCCAUAUACAUAUUUAAUGCCUCAUUCUGUCAUAGUACACGUGCCUUUGUAUAGUAAUUUGGCUGACCUUGAUAUCUUGUCUUGAUUCCAUCACACAAAACGUAUAAUUCUAGAGGAAUAUAUU
rnacentral:lncRNA from 1 species